UACGGAGUAUCGACGCACACGGUAGUAGAAUACAAAUACACUUUUAACGCGAUGUACUAAAUAACAGGUUUCUCGUGCAUUCAAUUCAGUAGACUCACGGGUCGCGAUGUCCAGCCAUCGUAUUUGUUUUUACGUAGUAACCUUUGACCAAGGUUGUUCGACUGCAAUACAUUUCGGUACUAAUAUUGCCUAUACAACGCGCCGACGUAUUUAAUAGUAUUUUACUAUUCUAAUCAGUC